ensembl:antisense
GGUGCGUUCCCCGUGCUGGCCGCCGCCGCGCUCGCUCCCCGUCGCUGGCUUUAGGAGCGACCCGGCCGGUAAAUCCGCAUAUUUGCCGCCGUCAGCCCCGGGAGGGGACCGCGGAGCGUGGCUGCAGCUCCCGCCGCACCACCGAUCACCUGUCUGGACCAGCUACCCGGUACCAGCUACCGCCUCGCCUCUCCCUGAGGGCUCCGGGCAGUCCCGAGAGCCUGUCCCCGGGCCUUCCUCUCGCCGCUGCCGCCCCGGGCCGGGCACGGCGCGGCCCAGCACGGCGCGGCCCGGCGGCCUGCGUGCGCCCCUCCGCGGCGCGCCCUCGGCUACGGCGCGGCGCUCCGCCCUCCGCCCGCCGGGGCCGGGCAGCUCCCGCGGCCGCGCCGCCUGGCAGCAACCUACCCGCCCGGGGCCUGAAGACCAGAGCGGCCGGCGACAGGGAGGGGGUUAUAGCGCCGCCACCGCGCCCCUCCCCCGCCCCCGCCCCCCCCGCCUCCCCCGGAUUCCGGGCCCGGGACCCGCACCUCGGAAGCGCUCAGGGGUCUCGCGGGCCAGAUCGGGCCCGGCCGCCACCGCCACUGCCACUGCAGUGGCCACACACGCGCUCACGCAGGCAGCUACAUCCAUCCAAGCUCGGCGCCCGCGGCUCAGAGCCCACAGGCGCCGGGGCUCCCGGAGCGCCCCUCCCUCGAGCUUGCCCACCCUUCAGUGCCAGCUGCAAUCCUGCGGCACCGGGCGGGGAGGGGAGGAGGCCGCUGCAGAAGCACGGCCGUCUCCGGCUCGCCUCUCUCUCUUCGGGCCCCAGCGGCAGUAAAGGGCAGCGCCCAGAGCUGCUGCGCCAAAAAGGGCAUGAGAGUCGGCUUGGCCCCCGCCCGGCGCUCGGGCCGCUUCCCACUGUAAGGAUCCAGUGCUCCAGCCUUCCCCUCUCCAUAAAAGGAGGGGGAGUGAGUCUUUGCGGAGAGGCGGGGCGGGUUUAGGGGCGCGUCUAGGGCACUCACCUGACGGCUGCCACGCGCCCGCGCCCCAGAGCCAAAGCCUGGGACACCUGAUUGAGGAACUUGCACUCUCGUGUGGAGGUGGAAACCAGGCUAGGGUCGGGGAGGAGGCUGCCGCCUGCCUCAUCGCCACCUUGACACCCUGCACCCUCCAGAUCCUUAGCCCCUGGCCGAAGGCCCAACCGCACCCUGAACGGGGAGCUGAAGGGAUAGAAGGAAAGAUAGAAAAGAAGCCGCCGGUGAGGAACUCCUGGGUUCUGCCUUGUGAUCCAAGGGAGCGCAGAGCGCCACCUCCGGCCAAGGCACAGUACAGACGGGUGGCGGGGAAGGCACAUGCGGACGAAAGUCUGAUCUAGGCUGGACGGUUCUCCCACUGAGAGAGAUGGAUUCCCGGUGGGAUGUGACCCGACGGCAAGGCUAGUCCUGUCAGCUCCUUGACAUGCACUGGGGUUAGAGAAUUGUGGACCUUUCAAAUCUCAAAGCUAGACAGAGGCUAGGGCUCUGGAGACUAUGGAGCCCUCCAAGGGUAAGGGUGCAACUGGAUACCGCCUGUCCAGUUCACUCCCUUUCAUGUGAAUUAACCCUAGCACCCAGCCCGGGUCCAAUCCCCCACCAAACUCCUUUGUCCCCAGACAAAGGCGCAGCCGGGCAGGAUCCUUUCAUCCCCAGCUCCCCGGGUUCCUGCAUUUCAAAGGCCGGGCUGGAAGGGCCCAACGCGGGCGUCUCACCUAGCUCCAAAUACCUGGUGGGCGUGGGGGCAGGGGGUGGCUGAGGAUCUUUGGAGCCCAAAUCUACAGAUUUCCUUAGGCCUGCAGGCCCCAUCACCACGCCCCAGCCCUAACACCUCGGGAUGCUCAGGAGAUAAGAGAUCACCCUCUCUUGGCCUAAAGAGGGAGUCUGGAAAACGUUGAGAAGCGCCCCACCUCGAGGUCUUCGAAAGCCCAGGCCUUGUCCGUACUGGUGAAACUUUGUGCUGCUCUGAAGAGGGUGACUGCACUGGAUGACUUCUGGCGGCGGCUACCAGGACCACGCUGGACCUGAGUCGAGUUCCUCACCGUUUUAUCCCGAUUGUUCUGCGCGGCCUGUCCUGCCAAGCCGUCGGCCUUCUCACAGGCAGAGAGCACCAAAGGACACCUUUUUGCGGCUCGACGACCCGGUGUGACGGUGGAUGUGAGAAUCCCGGAAGAAGAUCGGGUUGCAUUGCUGGGAUGCCGCUCCUGUCCGGCCACCACCUCCGCAUGGAGGCUGCGGGUUCCUGGGGACCCCACCUAGUUCGGUGCUUCUCUCUCCCCUUACUCUCUUGGCGCAGCAGGGAUGCCCAGCUGGAAAUCAAAGCUGGGCGGGAGGGAUUCUGAAGACGCUAGGGGACAUCAGGGACCAGAAUGAGGCUAGGCCUGGAUGCAUCGCCCGGGACGCGGGAGCCACGGAGAGCUGGGCGCAGGCACUGCUCUAAUCGCCGACCGCUAUUAAAAAUAAAACCGCGACCCGUCGUCAUAGCGACCGCAACAACAGCGGCCGCGCGAGGGUGGUAAGAGCUUGUGCAGCCCGGCGCCAGCCGCCUGAGGGGACUGGGGCACGGGCCCUUAAGCUUACAGGGUACUCUGAUGUGAGACAACGACCCCUACCCCCACAGCCCCCCCCCAACCCCGCGCUGUUCCUCCUGGUUCUCGUUAGACUCCUGGUCUCUGGAAACUGGAACUGGCUAAGUCUUGAGGUCAAAAGCCUAAAGGACCCGCCGGUUCAAACUACCCCACCCCCACCCCAUGCCUCGGCUUCCCUUGGGACCCGUGACAGUCCUCAUUUUAGCCUCUGGAGAAGGGGUUGAGUGAGGGGGUGAGGUUCAGGUGUCAGGCCUCCAAAGAACACCAAGAGACCAAGCCGGGCUGGAGGGGUUGCAUGCGCUCGAGGCCACCGCACCUGUCCCGCCCGCGCCUCCGUGAUCCUUUCUGGUGGGAGAGAUCACGUGCUUCCUUCUGGCUGGGAUUCGAGUUUCACUUCCAGCCGCUAUUAGGCGGUUCACUCGGUUCACUGCAAACAUUUGAUAAUGAGGCUAAAUAUACUUUAGAGUCGGAGGAGGUGUGGGCGGCUGCUGCCCUAGCCUGUAGGUGCGUCGUUCCAGGCUUCAUGGGGUACCCCGCCCCAGCAACUGAGAACAAUCCCCCAAGCCGGAUUCGAGAGAAAGACCCGCACCCACCCAUUCUCCCAAAAUCCAGUCCUAACUAGAAGGAGCAUCUUAGGGACUGUGGGCGCCUGAGGUCAGCUGGAGGGUCCCUGGAGGAAGUAGGCGGUAAGCAGGUUAAGCAGCCGGGAGCUUAGAAAGGUGGGGAGGGGAACCAGAAGGUGCACCUGGCGGUGACCAGGGAUGUCCGGUCGCCCCCAGAACAGAUGCUUCCGUCCUGUCUCCAGUGCCCCCGGCACAGUGCGACAUAUCCUCCCGCCCGUAAUUAAAGUGUCAAGUGUUUCAAAUAGCUCAAGAGAGGGAGUGCACAGCUGGGGUGACCAGGUAACAUCUAACCCUUGAUGGUGCCCUCUCAAUCCAAGACUCAGACUUCACAGGGAGGCGUAGACAGGGCUUUGAAUGGAGGGAGACCAUCCAAUUUGCUCAGCAUUUUAAACGUAACGCACACGUUUUCACCAAAGACUCGUCCACCUAGCUAGUGCCCUUCAACUGCUUGGAACUCAAGUAUCCGUGCUCAAUUAUUGCAGCCAUUAUCACUCAUUAGCUGCAAGGACCAAUACUGAGCCCUGAUACCGAUGCCGGUCUUUUGCCCUUUAAAAUAAUUUCAAACAGCCACCUUGAGGCGGAGGGACUUAGACCCCCCCCCCCUUCCCAGGUACAUAGAGCAAGGUGAGACUGAGUCCCAGGCACUGAGCGCCUCAUCCCUUGGGAGAUCCAAGGAUACGGAGUGGCCCAGGUUGCCUCUCUGUAUUAGGCAAGAAUGUGAAGGCAAUAUAAAUGGGUAGCUCCAGGUUUGCACACCACACCAUUUGCCACACCCCCCAAGAAGACGCACCUAGAAGAUCUCCCUGCUCUUUGCUGCUUGACUUUGGUCUUGGCUGAUCUGUCCCUGGCUUGUCCUGAAUUCUGUUCCUUUAUCUGGAAAAAAUAACCAAAGUGGAAGCCAGUGCUGAGCCCCUGCAGGUAGGUGGUCUCUACCUGCAACAGUCCCCAGCAACCCACUGGACCCUCUCUGUAAGGGUGGGGCCAGCUGGGCCCCAGGCUUCCAGGCUCUGCCAGAGCCAUCCCAGAACAAUUUGUAGUGUUGAAACACCAGUUUCCCUUUAUCUCUGGGCAAAGCUUUCUUGGUUCUGGGCAAUUAACCCAAAUGGAGCCUCAGCCAUGUGGGCUCUAGUCCUUGAAGAUCAAAAGUGCCCGGCCACAAGCCUUAAUUAUGUCAUUAUCUUGCCCCCCUUCUUACCCCCAGGCUAAGGAUCGGGCCUUUCCAGUUCAGGCUCCCCAGAAAACAAGAUAAAGUCUGUGCUGGGGUGGGAGGGCACCUCCAGGCUGCUUUCCACUCCCUAGUAAGUGUUUUUAUUUUCACUUUUAACUACACAAACAGAAAUUACAAGUCCACAGUAGACGUGAAUAUUUUGUGAAUGAAGACCCACGUAAAGGAAUGUGUGGUGGCGUUGGAAGGAGAAGCCUAGGGGCUAGGGAAUGGACGUGAUAGUGUGCUUACCUGCCAUACACAAGGCUCUGGGUUCUGCUCCCAGCCCCAAAUCAAAACAACUCUGGUGAUGCGUGCUUGUCAUUCCAGCAUUCUGGAGGCAGGAGUUCAAGGUCAUCCUUGGGACUUACAGUGAAGUCAAGGCCAGCCAGGAAUACAUUAGACCCUGUCUCAAGAGGAAGGAAGGAGGGGUGAGAGGAGAAAAGCCCACCAGGUAUGGUGGUGCGGUUCUGUAAUCUUAGUACUCGAGAAGCUGAGUCCUUACAGUAUGACUGUCUCAAAAAGCCCAAAGCAAAAAAAAAAAAAAAAAAAUGUGGAAACCCAAAGACGUUUCUCAUGGCCACCAGGCAUUUAGCUGUGUCUGGUCAGAACGGUUACCUGCAAAGCAUGGGGGCUUAAGAAACCUCAACACUUAGAUCCUACACAGGUUAGAGAAAAACAUUUUAGUUGUGUGUGUCUUUUCAGGUAUGUCUGUGUACCACAUCCCUGCUUGGUGCCUCUAGAGUCCAGAAGAGGGCGUCAGAUCCCAUGAAACUGGAGUUACAGACUCCAGAGAGCUGCCGUGUGCAUGCUGGGAGUCAAACCCAGGUCCCCCCCCCCCCCAGAGUAAAACUUUUUGUCAGUGAUUUCUGUACUAUGGGUUACAGUGAUAACAUUUUGAAGUUUAAUAAAGUAAAUAUGGUUACUA